rnacentral:rRNA from 1 species
UACGGAGGGGGCGAGCGUUAUUCGGAAUUAUUGGGCGUAAAGGGCGCGUAGGCGGCUUUGUAAGUCGGGGGUGAAAGCCUGUGGCUCAACCACAGAAUUGCCUUCGAUACUGCAUGGCUUGAGACCGGAAGAGGUUAGUGGAACUGCGAGUGUAGAGGUGAAAUUCGUAGAUAUUCGCAAGAACACCAGUGGCGAAGGCGGCUCACUGGCCCGGUACUGACGCUGAGGUGCGAAAGCGUGGGGAGCAAACAGG